UACAUACUCCUUCUGUCCAACAAAAAAUGUCUAAAAUUUUGAUGUAUCUAGACAUGAUUUAGUGUAUAUAUGUAUUCAAAUUUAGUCAAAGUUAAGACAUCCUUUGUUGGACGGAGGAAGUAAAAG
rnacentral:pre_miRNA from 1 species